GGCGUCGUAGCCAAGUGGUAAGGCAGCGGUUUGCAAAACCGCCAUUCACCAGUUCGAGUCUGGUCGACGCCU
rnacentral:tRNA from 1 species